AAAUCUGUUGAGCCUUGUUAUUCUGAAAAGUUAACCGAAGAAAACAAAAAUUGUUUUUGUUUGAUGCUGAGCUUAUGCUGAUCCAGUCAAAACAGAAUACUGGAGAUAAUAAAAAAGUGUGUAUUGAAAGAACUAUUCCUGGUGUAAUUUGCAAUAAUGUUGAUGAGUUUGUUGCAACAGUUUUGCGACGUAGAUCUCUUGAACCAGAGAAUGUUGAUGUUAAGAUUGGGGUAGAUGGAGGGCAAGGCUAUCUUAAGGUUACUUUAUCAAUCACAUUAAAGCCAGAGCUUGAAGUACAUUCAA